rnacentral:rRNA from 1 species
UACGUAGGUGGCAAGCGUUAUCCGGAAUUAUUGGGCGUAAAGGGGGAGCAGGCGGCAGCAAAGGUCUGUGGUGAAAGACUGAAGCUUAACUUCAGUAAGCCAUAGAAACCGGGCAGCUAGAGUGCAGGAGAGGAUCGUGGAAUUCCAUGUGUAGCGGUGAAAUGCGUAGAUAUAUGGAGGAACACCAGUGGCGAAGGCGACGAUCUGGCCUGCAACUGACGCUCAGUCCCGAAAGCGUGGGGAGCAAAUAGG